rnacentral:rRNA from 1 species
AGAGUUUGAUCCUGGCUCAGGAUGAACGCUGGCGGCGUGCUUAACACAUGCAAGUCGAACGGUGAACACGGAGCUUGCUCUGUGGGAUCAGUGGCGAACGGGUGAGUAACACGUGAGCAACCUGCCCCUGACUCUGGGAUAAGCGCUGGAAACGGCGUCUAAUACUGGAUAUGUGACGUGACCGCAUGGUCUGCGUCUGGAAAGAAUUUCGGUUGGGGAUGGGCUCGCGGCCUAUCAGCUUGUUGGUGAGGUAAUGGCUCACCAAGGCGUCGACGGGUAGCCGGCCUGAGAGGGUGACCGGCCACACUGGGACUGAGACACGGCCCAGACUCCUACGGGAGGCAGCAGUGGGGAAUAUUGCACAAUGGGCGCAAGCCUGAUGCAGCAACGCCGCGUGAGGGAUGACGGCCUUCGGGUUGUAAACCUCUUUUAGCAGGGAAGAAGCGAAAGUGACGGUACCUGCAGAAAAAGCGCCGGCUAACUACGUGCCAGCAGCCGCGGUAAUAC